rnacentral:rRNA from 1 species
GAUGAACGCUGGCGGCGUGCCUAAUACAUGCAAGUCGAGCGAACGGACGAGAAGCUUGCUUCUCUGAUGUUAGCGGCGGACGGGUGAGUAACACGUGGAUAACCUACCUAUAAGACUGGGAUAACUUCGGGAAACCGUAGCUAAUACCGGAUAAUAUUUUGAACCGCAUGGUUCAAAAGUGAAAGACGGUCUUGCUGUCACUUAUAGAUGGAUCCGCGCUGCAUUAGCUAGUUGGUAAGGUAACGGCUUACCAAGGCAACGAUGCAUAGCCGACCUGAGAGGGUGAUCGGCCACACUGGAACUGAGACACGGUCCAGACUCCUACGGGAGGCAGCAGUAGGGAAUCUUCCGCAAUGGGCGAAAGCCUGACGGAGCAACGCCGCGUGAGUGAUGAAGGUCUUCGGAUCGUAAAACUCUGUUAUUAGGGAAGAACAUAUGUGUAAGUAACUGUGCACAUCUUGACGGUACCUAAUCAGAAAGCCACGGCUAACUACGUGCCAGCAGCCGCGGUAAUACGUAGGUGGCAAGCGUUAUCCGGAAUUAUUGGGCGUAAAGCGCGCGUAGGCGGUUUUUUAAGUCUGAUGUGAAAGCCCACGGCUCAACCGUGGAGGGUCAUUGGAAACUGGAAAACUUGAGUGCAGAAGAGGAAAGUGGAAUUCCAUGUGUAGCGGUGAAAUGCGCAGAGAUAUGGAGGAACACCAGUGGCGAAGGCGACUUUCUGGUCUGUAACUGACGCUGAUGUGCGAAAGCGUGGGGAUCAAACAGGAUUAGAUACCCUGGUAGUCCACGCCGUAAACGAUGAGUGCUAAGUGUUAGGGGGUUUCCGCCCCUUAGUGCUGCAGCUAACGCAUUAAGCACUCCGCCUGGGGAGUACGACCGCAAGGUUGAAACUCAAAGGAAUUGACGGGGACCCGCACAAGCGGUGGAGCAUGUGGUUUAAUUCGAAGCAACGCGAAGAACCUUACCAAAUCUUGACAUCCUUUGACAACUCUAGAGAUAGAGCCUUCCCCUUCGGGGGACAAAGUGACAGGUGGUGCAUGGUUGUCGUCAGCUCGUGUCGUGAGGUGUUGGGUUAAGUCCCGCAACGAGCGCAACCCUUAAGCUUAGUUGCCAUCAUUAAGUUGGGCACUCUAAGUUGACUGCCGGUGACAAACCGGAGGAAGGUGGGGAUGACGUCAAAUCAUCAUGCCCCUUAUGAUUUGGGCUACACACGUGCUACAAUGGACAAUACAAAGGGCAGCGAAACCGCGAGGUCAAGCAAAUCCCAUAAAGUUGUUCUCAGUUCGGAUUGUAGUCUGCAACUCGACUACAUGAAGCUGGAAUCGCUAGUAAUCGUAGAUCAGCAUGCUACGGUGAAUACGUUCCCGGGUCU